CCUACGGGUGGCAGCAGUCGAGAAUCAUUCACAAUGGGGGCGACCCUGCUGGUGCGACGUCGCGUGGGGGAAUGAAGGUCUUCGGAUUGUAAACCUCUGUUAUGUGGGAGCAAAUUACAAAGAUAGUACCACAAGAGGCAGUGACGGCUAACUAUGUGCCAGCAGCCGCGGUAAUACAGCGGUCUCAAGCGGUGUUCGGCAUCACUGGGCGUAAAGCGUUCGUAUGCUGUUUCGUAAGUCGUGUGUGAAAGGCGCGGGCCCAACCCGCGGACCGCACAUGAUACUGCGACAUUAGAGUAAUGGAGAGGGAACCGGAAUUCUCGGUGUAGCAGUGAAAUGCUUAGAUAUCAGGCAGAACAUCGGUGGCGUAGGCGCCUUACUGGGUCGUAAUUGACGCUGAGGAACGAAAGCCAGGGUAGCAAAUGGGAUUAGAUACCCCUGUAGUC
rnacentral:rRNA from 1 species